UUGCUAUCUGCGAUAUGGAAGAUUCGAACCUGCCGCAGGUCCGGGUCUCACGCAGUGAGACAACGGAGCCGUUUGCGGCGACGGCCCGAAGGGCGAGCGAAGCGAGUCAUCCUGCACGACCCACCA
rnacentral:sRNA from 1 species